rnacentral:rRNA from 1 species
AACAGGAUUAGAUACCCUGGUAGUCCACGCCGUAAACGAUGUCGACUUGGAGGUUGUGCCCUUGAGGCGUGGCUUCCGGAGCUAACGCGUUAAGUCGACCGCCUGGGGAGUACGGCCGCAAGGUUAAAACUCAAAUGAAUUGACGGGGGCCCGCACAAGCGGUGGAGCAUGUGGUUUAAUUCGAUGCAACGCGAAGAACCUUACCUACUCUUGACAUCCAGAGAACUUAGCAGAGAUGCUUUGGUGCCUUCGGGAACUCUGAGACAGGUGCUGCAUGGCUGUCGUCAGCUCGUGUUGUGAAAUGUUGGGUUAAGUCCCGCAACGAGCGCAACCCUUAUCCUUUGUUGCCAGCGGUUCGGCCGGGAACUCAAAGGAGACUGCCAGUGAUAAACUGGAGGAAGGUGGGGAUGACGUCAAGUCAUCAUGGCCCUUACGAGUAGGGCUACACACGUGCUACAAUGGCGCAUACAAAGAGAAGCGACCUCGCGAGAGCAAGCGGACCUCAUAAAGUGCGUCGUAGUCCGGAUUGGAGUCUGCAACUCGACUCCAUGAAGUCGGAAUCGCUAGUAAUCGUGGAUCAGAAUGCCACGGUGAAUACGUUCCCGGGCCUUGUACACACCGCCCGUCACACCAUGGGAGUGGGUUGCAAAAGAAGUAGGUAGCUUAACCUUCGGGAGGGCGCUUACCACUUUGUGAUUCAUGACUGGGGUGAAGUCGUAACAAGGUAACC